rnacentral:tRNA from 1 species
GGGGAUAUAACUCAGUUGGUAGAGUGUGUGCUUUGCAAGCAUGAAGUCAAGAGUUCGAGUCUCUUUAUCUCCU